UCUCCUUCUUCUGCAUCUUCAUCUUCUUCUUCUUUGUUGUUUGCUUCCUUUCUGUGAAAGGGCUGAUACUCAAACAAGUUCAUGGUAUCAGAGCCACCAUCACAGUAAUUACUGUGAAAAUUGCUCGUAUUUGAGUCAAAGACUCGAGAUCAGAGUCAAAGAUUCAUCCAAUUUCCUAUCUGGUUCUGCAGAUCUAAGCUCCAUAGAAGCUAAAACUGCCGUCAAUAGUGACUUCCGCAAAAAAAUUUCGAAAAGGUUGAAGAAAUGGCAGGUGAAGCCACAGAUGCAGUUCAGAAUCUCUAUCAAACUCACUUCAAUGUUCAACGAGUUGGUAUACCUGAUUCUGCAAGCUCUGCGAGUAGCAAUGGGAAAGAAUCACAUCAAGUUUGCAGCUGCUUAUGGGCAUAAGAUGGCCAAGGAUUCCAACACCGAAGCAGCUCUCACAACUAAUACUGAGCCAGAAGAACCCACUGAAAGCGCUUCAAAUUUUUGACGAAGCAAAAUGCAAGUAUCCAACUUACCGUCACAAUGGUCCUGUUUAUGGCACUAUGAUUAAUAUUUUAGGCAGAUCAGGUAGAACAACUGAGAUGAAUAGAAUAAUUAAUCAGAUGAAAGAGGACUCGUGUGAGUGUCAUGACUCAAUAUUUGUGAACGCCAUUAGAAGCUAUGCACAGGCUGGAUUAACAAACGAAGCCAUUUUUCUUUUUAAGUCUCUUCCGGAGUUCAAUUGUAUAGAAUGGACAAGAUCUUUGAAUACUCUUUUGGAGAUAUUGGUAGAAGAAUCUAAGCUAGAAUCUGUUUAUCAGUUAUUCCUUGAGAACUCUUGUAGAUGGGAAGUGAAGUCUCGGGCGCGUUUCUUGAAUUUGUUGAUGAAUGUUCUUUGUAGAAUGAAACACUCAGAUCUUGCAUUGCAUAUUUUUCAAGAGAUGAGUUACCAGAACUGCUAUCCAAACAAAGAGAACUACAGAAUCUUGAUGAGGGGUUUAUGUGAGGAAAAGCGGCUCAACGAGGCUACUCAUCUGCUGUACUCAAUGUUCUGGAGGAUAUCUCAGAAGGGAAGUGGUGAAGAUGUGGUUGUCUAUCGAACUUUAUUGGAAGCAUUGUGUGAUAAUGAAGAAGGGGAGGAGGCCAUACAAAUUAUUGGUAAGGUAUUGCGAAAAGGACUAAAAUCUCCGAAAAGAUUCUUCAAGCAGAUUGAUCUUGCUCAAUGCCAGAAUGGAUCAGAUACAGAAGAUAUGAAAAUUUUGAUUAAUGAAGUUUUGAUAAAAGGCAUAGUUCCCAGUUCAGAUAGCUAUAGAGCAAUGGCUGUUGACUUUUAUGCCGAAGGCAAGAUUGAUGAAGGUAACAAAGUGCUCAAGGAAAUGCAUGACAGAGGCUUCAAACCGUCAGUGGCAAUUUAUGAAGCAAAGGUAGCUGCUUUUUUCAGGGAUGGCCAGGUUGACGAGGCAAUUAUGGUCAUUGAUUGUGAGAUGGUGCAAAAAAACUGUGUUCCGAAUAUAAGAUUGUAUAAUUCAGUUAUAAAAGGCCUAUGCCAUGAAAGAAAAUCUACUUGUGCUGUUAAGUAUUUGGAAAGGAUGUCUAGGCAAGUAGGUUUCGUGCCAAACUAUGAGUCGUAUGAAACUUUGGUAGAUGGGUUAUGUAAAGAUGGUAAAUAUGUUGAAGCAAGCAAUGUGAUGGAGCAAAUGUCAAUCAAUUCCCUUUGGCCUAGAGUUGGAACUUUUAAUUCUCUUAUUCAAGGUUUUUGCCAAGUAAGUGAUUUACACGGUGCAAUUAUGUGUUUGGAGGACAUGAUCUCUCUAGCCUUGACUCCAGAUAUCCAUGUGUGGCAGUCAUUAUUAGAUGCAAUCUGUUGUGAAAAUGGUAUGAAUGAGGUUUCUUUCAAGACACUAGAGCAGCUACAGACACCUUAUCAUAGUCUAUAACUACAUCUGUAUUGCUGGAUUUUUCCCUUUUCUUUUCUGAUCUAUAUGCUGAUAUGUUUACCUUAAUGUCCGUGCUUCGUUUAGUAGAUUCAAGUCCUUGCUUAUUCAAGUUGUACAUCCACCAAAGAGCCAAAGAAUGCAGAAGAGAAGCAGCAGUGACCACAACUGCUCACACUCAGCUUUGUUUGGGGCAUAUUCUCAGAAUUAGAUCAACAACAUGACAUUACAGAGUUCUAAUCGUUUUGUUUUGUCGAACUUAGUAGGCAUUUAGACAUGUAAUUUUACAUAGUAAUUUGAAUUAUGAGAUGCAUCAGUGUUUGAACAUGUAGUUUUAUCUCAUGAUUUCAAAUCUUGAGAUGAAAUCUCAAAUUCUCCAAAAGUUUGAUUUGGAGAUUUCAUAUCAUGAUUUCACGUUUUUCAAAUACAAAAAUUGACCCACAAAUAUAUAUUUUUGUAACAGAA